AAAGAUCCAAAAAUCGGGACUGUCCCUAUAAAAUCAGGACACCUGGUCACCCUAGUCUAGCCCCAGCCCUGCCCCGCGUGUCCCUGCCUGAGUGAAAGCAGCGAGGCUCUCCCUUGCCUGCUGCCUUCCUGGGCUGCCUCAGGCUGUAGCAAGAGCAGUGGCCGGCUGAGGCAGCACCUCAGGAGGGGAGCAGGCAGGGGCAUACACUUUGCAGCCCUCCCCUCCCCCGGCACCUACCUGGAGGAGACACCGAGAGGGCUUCUGGCCAAGAGACAUCUGGAGUGAACCUCACUCACCUGAGCAGCUGCUGGGGCUUCAGGCAACAGAAGAUAACCAAGGGAGCAGACUUUAUCUGAAUCCUAACAAUGGACAGGCAGCUUGGCUGAGAGUCCAGUGGCUCAAUCACACAGCAGAAGGAUGGUGAUUAAUUCCAUCUUAAUGCUUCACUUCAACAUGGAUCACUGAGACUGUAAACUGCUACAUUCACUUGCCUGGACCUGUUCUUCAAUCCUAUUUAAAUCAAUAGGAAUUUUCUCAAUCACUUCAAAUGGGAACAGGAGCAGGCUCUAGAGGUCUAAUGAUCCAAGACAGCAGCAGUGACCAAAGGUCUCUUCUUCCAGCUCCAGCCGUCCAGAAGGAUGCACCCUUCACUGCUGAAUGAGAUCCAGACUGCACCCUCCUCACUUAUAGACUACUGAAACACAUCCUAUCUAAGAAUGACCACUAAGGCCAAAUGGAGGCAUAUUCCAAGGGGUAGCUGGAGUGCACAGCAUAUGGUGGCAGUAUGAAUCCAAUUCAAGGUGCUGGACUUCAGUUACAAAACCCCAUAAGGGCUGGGGCCUGACUAUUUCUGUAAACCCCUCUUAGGGCUGAGCCUCACUCUUACUACCUUCAGGGAAUAUUUCAUUAAAUAUCUCUUCAUGCAGACAUUUUUCCAAACUGUUGAAUGCACCCACUGACUUGUCUAACUGGAGACUGGGAUGGAAGUGGUGAGAAUGAGAGAACUACGCUCUUGUACACAAAUAAAUUUACCAAGGUGUUGUUUGUAGAUUAUGUAGGCUGAACUUAUUGCAAUGCUCUUUGUAUUCCUCCAUUCCCUCUCCCACAAGCUCUCUGUAUGCCCACCAUCCCAGCCCCUUCUUUUUCCAGGAAUUUCCUGCAAUUCACCCGAAUCUCUUCCCUGCAAGGGUCUGUGUGCCCCUCACUUCCCUCUUCUUCCAUAUCAGAUCCCUCACUCGCUCCCCAUACCAGCAGCUCAGCAUGCAACCUAUUAUCCUCUUUCCCCCAUACUCCAUUCCUCAUACGAGGGUCCUCCAAUCAACCCCCCACCAGGAGGUCUGUGUGCCCCUCAUACCAAAUCCCCCAUGCCAGGGGCUGUGUCUGCUCCAAUUCUCUGAAGGCCCUUCAUUCUGGCCCCCAAGCCAGGGGCUGUGUGCACGCUUAUUCCCCACCUUCCCUGGGUCCCUCAAUCUUCCCCCAGCAUGGGCUCUGUGCCCCCCAAUCCUCUCUCCCCCAUAUCAGAUCCCCCAAACUCCAUUCCCCCCAACCAGAGGUUCAAUGUGCUCCUUUCUUCCCUCCCUCCAUAUGAGGGUCCCCAAUUUUCCCCUAACAUUCCAGCAGCUGUGUGAACUUCUCUCUGCUCCCCUCAGGCCCCUCCAUUUCCCUUUCCCCCUACCACCAUUAUUUUCUGUCCAGAAGAGAAGUCAUUCAGCAUGUCAAUGCGUUACACUAUUGGGAGGAUAAGCUGACAUGAGCAUAGGUAUUGUUGUGCUGGAAAGUGUGAUCUACAGAUAACUGUAGAUAUGCUAGAGGCUGUGGCUAAAGAGCUGUCAGGGGCUCUUUUGUUCCCCAAUCUCCCUCCCUUUUGAUUUUCUGCUCUUCUCCAAGAUCAAAUAGGAUUCUGACAAUUAAUGCCUAGAACAUUCUCUGAAAUUUUGGAACUAACUGGAUGGAGUUUUCAAAAGUUAUCCCAUUACAAAAAGAGAAAUGCCACUGAGGUGACUGUAGGGACUUUGCAAGCUCAGAUAAGAGUGCCAAAUUAUUAUAGUGAUGGGUACUUUAGAAAUGCUUGUAAUAAACAAUGUUACAUUUACUUCUCAUUGACUUAAUGAUACAAACUAACAAACCAGAAAUCUAAACUUCAAGGCUUGGGUGAAAGGUCACCUGCCUUUCACACAUGCACAGACCUUUU